UGAGCCUGCAUGAGCCUCGUGUAGUCAGGGGGCCUUGGAGGGUGUUUUGGAGUACUCUGGAGCUUCAUCUGAGACUGGGAAGCCACCUUCUCCUGUGCAGGAAAAGGAAAGGAGCUGACAGACUCAACACAACAAGCUUCUCUGACCAGUGACAGCAUGCAGGACUAAAAACCCAGAGGAGUGUGCCCUCCAGAAAACUUGUGAACAAAUAACGUCUCCAGAAGAUGUCUGAUGUAGUGUAAACAAUGGCAGAAGCAGGCCAAGCUGGAGGGGGGAAAAAAAAGGAAAUGAAGAUUUGCUGCUGAAGGGUUUUGGGGCUGAUCUGGCACUGUUGGCAUUGGAGCAUCCUUGGGAAAACUUACACAGCCCACAUUGUUGACUGAGCUUUGGGGGCAGCCAAGUGUGACAGAGGAAAGGGAAGGAAUAGCUGUGCUAUGGCAUCCCCCAGCCAUUUCCACAGUGCUUGUCUUUGUUUCUUUUGAUGUGCCUUAGGACAGCAGAUACCCUGAAGGAAAUUUGCUUUGUCUCUUCAGCUCAAAGUCUGAGUGAAACUGGUCAAAUAUAGCUGUGGUUUUCUUUAGACUCACCUUACGGUUGGUGGUAUUGCUGUAUUUUAAGAUACAGGUAUUGCUGUAUUUAAGAUAUGUACCUUAAACGAAUGGAACAAAAUCCUCAUAAUAAGUGUAACCAAACAUGGGAACAGUUGCCCAGAGAAGCUGUGGGAUCUGCUUCCUUGGAGAUGGUCAAAACUCAACUGGGGAAGAUCCUGAGUCAUCUUAGACGAAGUUGGCCCUGAUCUCAGCAGGAGCCUGGAUCAGAUGAGCCUGAGAGGUUGCUUCCAUGAUGCUACGUGCCAUGAUGGUCAGGAGAACUGGUUCACCCCUCCAGCUGGAGGGGAAGGGGGGCUGCACACAGAGUGCACCGACCCAGCCACUCCCAUUUCAAAAGCACUUGGGCUAAGUGUGAAUUUUGUAGGCAAGAACAGGCAUUAGAUGAACCCCUUGAACCAGGGCUAAUAGCAGGAGGUGAAACACAUCCAUCAAGUAAGGCGCAAACAUUUUUUUUUCAAGGUACCAAAACAAUUCAUGGCUAUUAAAGAUAACAAAAGGAAGAUAGAGAAAGAGCAGCUGUCUGACUUGUCAAGGAAGAUAUGAUUUGCUCCAGGACAGCAGAUAUCAAUAGUUAUUUGGGAGCCUGAAAUGCAAUGUACCUGCUUUAAAUUGGAAUCUUCCCCUCAGCCCCCCCAACUCAUCUUGCAGUAUGUUUCAAUAAAAGCCAAUUUACCUGAUCCUGUGGCAAAGUGCUUUUAGGUAUGGCUCAUCAUCUGCACAAGGGCAAGCAGAGGUUGUGCGUUUCAAGCACGUCAUCCCACAUUUCCAGUCCUCUAGCCUCAGCACGCCAUUAUUUUUGAACAUACUCAAAGAUUUAGACAGAUGGGAAUGUGCCUUUGCUGCUGCUCGUCUGCAGUGACCUUGUCAUUACACCACCGCGUGUCCCUGG